AAAAUACCUUCAGGAGAACUCAUCUAAUGUCCAAAGGAAAGUCUCCCAUCUCACCUACCAAUUUCUGGCUGGAGCCCUGCCACUAAAAAAAAAAAACAGAUCUGAGAUACAAAUGGAGAAAUGGGAUGGUGGAAUUUGCCCAGGAAUGAAGAUUCAGAAAUCACUAAUGAAGGAGAGACCCAAGAAAUCUAUACAAAAGAAGUAGCCUAAGGAAAAAAAAAAGAUUUCAAAGGAGAAAUAUAGGAUGAAUAUAUAAAGGGAGAAGAGAAAGACAAGCAGGGUCAGCAGCUCUGGAAGCUUUGGGCAAAAAAGGGGAAUUAUCCUUUGUUUCUCUUUGACUGACCCUUUAUUCCUUUAUUUCUCUGGACAGG
rnacentral:lncRNA from 1 species